rnacentral:rRNA from 1 species
GCCAGACCUAGCCCAAACCCAAACAAACAUAACUUCAACCUACUAACUAAAACAAAACAUUUAUUUAAACCUUCAAAAGUAUAGGAGAUAGAAAUUAUAAUAAGGCGCUAUAGAAAAAGUACCGCAAGGGAAAGAUGAAAGAAGACAUUAAAGCAACAAACAGCAAAGCUUACCCCUUGUACCUUUUGCAUAAUGAUUUAACUAGAACAGCUUAGCAAAGAGACCUUAAGUUAAUCGCCCCGAAACCAGACGAGCUAUUCAUGAGCAGCUUUCCAGAGCAAACUCAUCUAUGUGGCAAAAUAGUGAGAAGACUUAUGAAUAGAGGUGAAAAGCCUAACGAGCCUGGUGAUAGCUGGUUGUCCAGAAAAGAAUUUCAGUUCAACUUUAAGCCUACCAAAAAUUAUCCUAAAUUUACUGUAGACUUAAAAGAUAAUCUAAAAGGGGACAGCCUUUUAGAUACAGGUUACAACCUUCCCUAGAGAGUAAGCAUAUAAACCAAACCAUAGUUGGCCUAAAAGCAGCCACCAAUAAAGAAAGCGUUCAAGCUCAACGACCCAGUUACCUUGAUCCCAACAUUAACUACGCUAACUCCUAGAACUAAAACUGGACCAUUCUAUAAUUAUAUAGAAGAAAUACUGUUAAUAUGAGUAACAAGAAUUUUAUUCUCCCCGCACAAGUGUAUAUCAGAACGGAUCUCCACUGAUAAUUAACGUACAUAAAGCAAGCCAAACAACAAGCCCUUUACAUCCCCUACGUUAACCCAACACUGGAGUGCUUCAAGGAAAGAUUAAAAGGAGUAAAAGGAACUCGGCAAACAUAAACCCCGCCUGUUUACCAAAAACAUCACCUCUAGCAUACCAAGUAUUAGAGGCACUGCCUGCCCAGUGACACACGUUCAACGGCCGCGGUAUCCUGACCGUGCAAAGGUAGCAUAAUCACUUGUUCUCUAAAUAAGGACUUGUAUGAAUGGCCACACGAGGGUCUUACUGUCUCUUACUCCCAAUCAGUGAAAUUGACCUCCCCGUGAAGAGGCGGGGAUAUAAAAAUAAGACGAGAAGACCCUAUGGAGCUUUAAUUAACUAACCUAAGAAUGAACACUAAUUACCGAAAGGAACAAAACACAUUUAAAUAGGUUAACAAUUUAGGUUGGGGUGACCUCGGAGCAUAAAAAAUCCUCCGAGCAACUAUAAGCCAAGACCUACCAGUCUAAGCUACAACAAUCACUGAUCCAAAAGCUUUGAUCAACGGAACAAGUUACCCUAGGGAUAACAGCGCAAUCCUAUUUAAGAGUCCCUAUCGACAAUAGGGUUUACGACCUCGAUGUUGGAUCAGGACAUCCCAAUGGUGCAGCAGCUAUUGAUGGUUCGUUUGUUCAACGAUUAAAGUCCUACGUGAUCUGAGUUCAGACCGGAGCAAUCCAGGUCGGUUUCUAUCUAUUCUAUGUCUCUUCCAGUACGAAAGGACAAGAGAGACGGGGCCUCCUUAAACCUAAGCGCCCUCUAGCUCAACAGAUGAUAUUUUCUCAAUCUAAUAAGCUAUAGCCAUACCACCCCUAGACCAGGGGUCC